GUGGGGAAUAUUGGACAAUGGGCGAAAGCCUGAUCCAGCCACGCCGCGUGAGUGAUGAAGGCCUUCGGGUCGUAAAGCUCUGUGGGGAGGGACGAACAAGCUCGGGGCAAAUAGUCCCGAGCCCUGACGGUACCUCCUUAGCAAGCACCGGCUAACUCCGUGCCAGCAGCCGCGGUAAUACGGAGGGUGCAAACGUUGCUCGGAAUUACUGGGCGUAAAGCGCGUGUAGGCGGCCGAGUCAGUCUGGCGUGAAAGCCCUGGGCUUAACCCAGGAAGUGCGCUUGAUACUGCUUGGCUUGAGUACGGGAGAGGGUAGUGGAAUUCCCGGUGUAGAGGUGAAAUUCGUAGAUAUCGGGAGGAACACCAGUGGCGAAGGCGGCUACCUGGACCGAUACUGACGCUGAGACGCGAAAGCGUGGGGAGCAAACAGGAUUAGAAACCCCAGUAGUCC
rnacentral:rRNA from 1 species